CUGACUUCAGGUGAAUCCUUCACUUGGCUGCUGUCCUGUCCCGUGUCUGUAAAGUCGGGAUCUCAACGCCAAUAUCACAGGAUGGAGGAGGAUGAGGUGUAUUGAAUGCUGCAUCCGUGUUUAUUGUUUCUCCAGCACCUUCUUGUAUCGGUCAGGACAGGAUAGGGGAAACAUGAAACCUUGAAUGUCAGGCUCUGCAGGAAACUCAAAGGUCAUCUAGACCAGGAAAUCCAGCGUGGCCACCCCUUGUGCUCACCUGGAGAGGGUGUUAAAAAUACAGAGGCCACCGCGUUGGAUGCGUCCUUGGGGCCAGAGGGUGAGCCCACGCCCCCAGGGGCAGCUGGUGGAGCUUUCCCUGGGGAGUGGCUCCCAGUGUCAAUCACGCUGGAAGAGGGAGUGGGCACUGGGGGGCGGCAGGGGGCAGGCCUGGGUUUAGCGCUGGGAACCCUAGCGGACCCGCCCCAUGGCCCUGCAGCCCACCUGUGGCUUUCCCUACAGCUGCACACUGACAGUGAGGAGGGCAGCAGGGGAUCAAGCAGCAGUGAGCCCCACAGAGGUGACCCUUUUAUUUAUGCAUUUUUUACUGGCUUUUAUCCCUUCCCUGUCUCACUUCCCCUCUUUCCCGGGACCUCUGUGUUUCCUGAGACCACCUCCCCAGAGAAACUUCCUGUGCAAGUCUCUGUCUCAGGGUCUAUUUUGGGGGCAACUUAGGCGAAGCUAAGGCAAAGCUUUCAC
rnacentral:lncRNA from 1 species